UCUUCACUCUUUAGUUCAACUUAACACACUCAUCUUUUUUUCUUUCAGAGUUGAAUGUGCAGCUACAAGAUAAUACGAAACAGUUCUACCAAACAGUGAAAAAGGAUGACACGAAGAACUUUUGCUUGUUCAUUGAGGGUAAAGCUCCUAUCUUUUGAAAGGCUAAUGAUGAUCACAGCAAGCAGAACCUGCAUUUUGUAUAAUAUAUGAAGGAUAAUAUUUGGUACUCCAGCAGCAUGAUGUAAUAUUGAUUCAACACACUCUCUGCAAACCUUGUGAGUCAUAGUUCUUGAAGACUUUUUAAUCCCUUGCUGGAUUGCAGCAUCACUUCUUAGUUGGUCAUACAUCAAAUGUGAGACUACACAGAGAAGCCUACAAGCUUAUGGCGUAUUUCCUAGUCUACUUGGCUGUGCUGGGGAGAAAGCUCAUAGAGUAAAACGCAGCAGAGAGCUGUCAAUCCGUUUAUAAGGCAGAUCUCACCGGUGCAACUUAAGAGUACUUCUUAGCUGGUAACCAGAUUCAUGUCCGGAUACAUCUUGACUCCAUACUGGGAUGAGACCUAGGUAAGUGACAUUUGUCCUCCAUCCUCUUGUCUUUUUGUGUCCACUCCAAUUUCUACUGGCAAGGAAGUAGUUCCCCAGCAAAUCUGUAAUUGUUUGCUUUAAACCACCGGGCUGCCUGGGACUGACUGACUCUCCAGGACAUACUUGCCCUGGGGCUUAGACAAAAGCAUAGGUACCAAGAGACCUAUAGAGCAACAAUUGGAGCUGUAAGCACAUUUGACAUUUUACUUGUCCUGUGUGCAUGUGAAAUGCCCACCAAGUUCCUAGCCUGGAGGGCUCAGAGAAUAUGCUCUGUGUUCAGAAACAUGCUGGGUCUUGAAAGCAAAACAAAACUGCAUCCCUGUUUGCAGUUCAUGAGAAACUUGAAAAUAUUGGAGUUGGUAGGAAAUUUAGCCCAUAACUACAUAAAGACACUCCAUGCACCACAAAUCCUGCUUUCCCCCCAGCUAUAUCUACUCUUUUUGUCUCCUGAACAGCAUACCAAACAUGAUUAGUGAAGCUGUAUUAGCAGAUCAGGACAGGAUAGUUUUGGCCAGUUGCUGGUAGGUGAUGAAAUGCUGGUUGUGAGGAGUGCUGCUACAAACUACAGGAAAUUAACUUUCCCAGUCUUUUUCCCUCUGAAGGAGGAGAAAAAGUAUUUAAAGACUAGCCAAUGCCAGAAAUUAAAGUAAGAGCAAUCAUGAUUAGAGAAGGCAUGAUUAAUAAUAUAAUUGCACCACACUAACAAUAAUAAUUAUAAUUACUUUUAUUUACAUAAAUUUAAUUGCAGCAGUUAGUCCAGAUUUACUGUUAUGAACACUCAGUGAUUUGUGGCUUGUGAGGUGAAAGAUGAUUCAAGUAGAGCUUUCCCCUUGCACUGUGAGUAGUGACUUCAUUUUUAAGGCUAAGAAAUGUUGUACUUUUGUACUUUAAAUAACAACAAUCAGUUUCUUUAAGAAAGACAGCCAAGGAUGGGAGCUGAUGGAAGGCACUAGCUCGUCUGGGCACUAUUUGGUAUUCACUGAGAGCAAAGGAGAUAGAAACCUGCUCAGCUGAUCAUCUGAAGUCUCACUGGAUGCUGCAUCAACAGAAGUCUUCACAUUAUGUGGCUCCCAGGACUGACAGGCUCAGCUCAGAGUCUGCAAGAUAAAUAUUUCGAUCAGCUUGGAGUAAUCUCUGAAUGGAGUCGUUGGAGAACACAGUACAGAGAUAUCCAAGUUCCCUGGGUCUGCAACAGCAUGUGUCCAGAAGGAGGCUGGCUGUAUUUGUGUGAUAACAUGGAAGUGGGAUCUAGAUGAAGCGUAUCAAAGCAAACAGAACGUAUCAAGCACAAUUGUGAUUUUACCCCUAGUAAAUAUUCCUUUUCCAAACUUCCAAGAUUCCUGAAGUCCUGAGCUGCUGGAGAACAGAUUGGGAGGGGUGAGUAAGAGCGCAUUACUUAAUUGACUUAAUUGACUGCUUGAAGUCAAUUUGGAAGAACUUGAAGCCUUAAUAGUUAGCACUACUCCUUGUAGCUCUUAACAAGAUUGCUUCACUGCAAUAAUUUGUUGAUUUUGUUUCUUCUGGGGCAUACUGCAAAAUGUUAGAUGGCAAAGAAAUCCCAACGUACUUGUCUUCUGACCAUCUGCAUAGCUGGAUUUGCUUUGAAUGGGAUCUGCCUGUGGGGCUCUGCUAAGCCUUUUCUUUGGCUUCCUCUUGGUUAGCACCCAGUGCAUUACUUCCAAAGUGCAGAGGUGGGUGCUGGGCAGCCCUUCAUGGCAUAAUGCCACCAUGGUGCCCGUCCAGCAGGGACAGCUUGCUGUUCGUGCUAGGGCUGUACCGGGAGGAAGGAGAUGACCUACGGCCCUGAGCUCCUGCUGGUUUUAAAAUGUCACUCCCAGCACCGGUAUCAAAGCCAUAUGCUGCUUCUUACUUUCCAAUGGAUUUCAAAAGGGCAUAUGAAUGGUUGUGCUCAUUACCAUGGCUCACAGUGUAUCUUUUUUUUUUUUUUUUUUUUUAGUUAAGGGAAAUGCAGCUGAAAUAUAUACACCAUAAAUAAAGCUGUGGAUGAGUUUAAACAAUGUUUGGGAUUCCUUACAUUUAAGUGUUUUCUUGACUACAUCUGGUUCCAGAAUAAAACGAGAGCAGAGUACAGCAGCGGUACCAGGAUGAGUUUUCAUACCAUUAGCUGGGGGUCAGUACGCUGUGUGAGGUGGGAAGAGAACCAGAGGCUAAUCUCACGUUUGCUGCAAAGAAUAGGCAGGAACAUACAAAUUGUGAUGGAAAUAGGUAUAAAAUAUCCAUUAUCCAUGUUUUUUCCCUGAGUCCAGUGAGUAGCUUAUGUCCUGAGGUAUGUUUUAUGAAUGUGUAAAUCUAAUUAACUAUGUGUGUCAAAUAUCCUUUUAAAUAGGUGAAUUCUCGGCUUCAGCUAUAUUUUUGGCAAGACUUUCAGUGGCUGAUAUAUAGGUAUUUUCUUUCCGUUGCUUCUUAAACUUGCCUUUUGGGUUCACUCUUUUGUAUGCUGAAGGUACAGUUAAUAGGCUUUUCAAUUUUAUUCCUUCUGUAUCUUUACACAUAUUCCAGUGUUAUCCUUUCUUACAUGGCUUUCUGAUCUUAACCUCCCUGGUCUUACACGCUUACCCCAUAGUGCAAAACAUGGAAAAGAACAACAAAUUUGAAGAUUGGGUAGGUGGAAGCAGUUUAAAGCAUGUUAUCUAAAGAGGAAACAACUAAAUCUUUAGAAAUAGCAAUGUGUUUUCACCUUUGUCCUCCAUCAGUUUCUUACUUCAAUACAGAUGUCUGUGGCUGCUUUAGCAACCGUUGCAGAUUCGGCAGAAUUUCUCAUUGAACUAAUCAAAGUGAUUGCUAGGUGCUUCUUCCAAGUUUCUCAUCCAGGCUCCUGCAGAAUAUAUGUUUUAUUUCAACUGGAAAGAAAAAUGUACCUGACACAAGAAUGUGAACUCAAGCUGGCAUCUCAUCGCCCUGUGACUUCAGCCCUCCUGAAGCUUGUCACAAUUUUUUUUUUUUUCCUAGGCUUACUGCAAGGUUUGCUUUAUCAACACAUCACAUCUCAGUGGUGCUCAGAUAUUAUCUGAGCUGAUUGGAGCUCUGGAAUCAGUAUUUGCAGGCUGCCCCAAGCGGUCUUAAUUAACCCUACCCAUGUUUAAUGUAGGUUGAAUGUUACAUAUAACGUAUUUGGUUUCUGAGCUGGGACCUGGACUGGCAAGGGAGCGUCUGUAGCACGGUUUUGCACUCUAGGCAUGCAUUGCAAGCACUCUGAAGAAGAGUUGUAACUGAAGGAGCUCUCCAGCACGGCACAAAUCUGAAAAGAAGCUGAAGGUACGCUGUGACGCCAAGUAGGAAGUUGGCUAUUAGCAGGAAUGCUAUUGAUCAAAAACAAUUUGCCAAAACUUAAAAAGAAUUUUGGGUGGAUAUAUUACAGCAGAAGUCAGAUUCUGGAUGAAUGCUAAGACUAACAAAGCAUGUAUCAGCUAAAAUGUUAAUUACAAAUUAUGCUUUCACAUCCAGUGUUGGGACUGACAAGUGCAGUUUUAUUUGCUGAGUUGAACCUUCUCCAUUUCUUUAUAAUGUGUUUUCUGGGCCUCAGUUUAGAGACCUUAACACUGGGAGGACUUCUUGUAUCAUCCAUCCUCUUUCUCCCCAUACCCCGCUGCUGACUACUGGAGCACUGACUCCCCAGCUUCUUAGUAAAUUUAAAAUAAAUGAACAAAACAAAACAAACAAACCAAAACCAAAAACAAACAAACAAAAGUAAAACACCAAAGGAACUGCCUGAAUCUUUUAUAAGUUUAAUGAUAAAAUAAUUAAAAUGGCCUUCAACAGCACAGAUGACAAUGAUGAGACAUGUCUCUGCCAGUUUUACUACCAUGUAGUUGCCUGAAUAUGGGGAAGAGAAAGCAGAGGGUGUUUCUGACAAUAUGAUUAAUUACAAAAUGAUUUGCUAGCAGAGCUACUGAUUUUGCUUUGUUAAAUCCCACUCGGCGGUGAGUACAAUGAGAAGCCAUUCCAUUUAAUGCAAGGUACUGAUUUAAAGCCUGCCAUCCUUAGGUUGUGGAUAUCUGAAAAAAAAACAAUUCCAUUCCUGUUGGACCUCUAGGCUACCGUGUCCUAGAGUAACUUAAUGAAAAUGCAGUUUAGAAAUUAAGAACAAGCGGUGUAGGUUAAUGUAAUGUUUCUUUGUCUGCCCAAAGAGAUUAUCGCAAGGCUGAGUUGUUAGGACGUGUUAAUCAUUGGCAACAGUGGUUCCAAAAUAAAUGGCUUUUAAGGCUCAUUUAUUUAAAUAUCUUAAAGCAUCUGAAGAGUGUUCCCCCCAUUAUUUGCUUCCCCUGCUGCUACUAAUAAAUGUCUUCUGUUUGCUAGAUGCCUUUCACAGUGAAGUUAGUCUCCAGGAGGCUUGCAGUGGUUACGGGUAACAUGAAUUCACCCAUCCCUGCAAUGCAGCCAGCUGUAGAGCUGAAAAAGCACCACACAUUUCGGCAACAAGUAAACAUUUUCAGAUAAAAUAGCCAAAAAGGGAACUUUUAGGGCACCUUGCUCAAGCUCUCUUGUAUUCUCUGUCCUGGCCAAGACAGCAGCAUGUGCUGUAAUGCUGUCUUACGCCUUAGCCUUGGAAAUGCACGCUUUAUGUUAGCAGCUUUGUGCUUUUUGAAGUUAGGUGAAAACUGCUAAUUGCCUAGGAAGACCUGAGAAGGCUGGAUGGCUGAACGAGCACAGGUUUUAUGAUGCAGCACCGAGCUUCUAGGUGUCGCGUCCCUAAUUCCUUUCAAAUGGGUUUUUGAUCCUCCAGAGUUCGGUGCCCCAGAACAGGGCUGAGUUGCUGCUCUGUGGCCAAACCACCUGAGGGAUGCAUUGGACAGCCCUGUCCUCUGGGCUCCAAGUCCCAUGAGUAGAUUUGGAGUGAAUCUCAGAGCUUAACGCCCUCAUCCCCUGCAGGAGCUCUGAUCACAAGGACAAAAUCUUCCUGGGUGGUACAUGCAUAUGCCUGCGGCAGGGUGGUGACACCACCGGAGAAGUGCAGUUGGUGGCUUACAACAGCAACACGUGAGUAGGGAGAGCAUCCCUCUGUUUCCUCCUCAUUUCUUUUAAAAUGAGAGUGAAGCCUGCGCUAUAGCCCUAGCAGGUAGUCACCACAUUUGAGACUGGCAUAUUUAUUUAAUGGCCUGUAUAAUUCAGAAGCCUGGUUUCACGUGUUCAGGGCUGAAAGCCUUCCCUUGAUACUUUUUUUUUUGUGCUUUGCAUAUCGUGUUGCUAUACAAUCUUUGGUGUUUGCUGCUGGUUAUCUAGCCGAGUUGUAACCCAGCCCGUCUGCUCCACUGAGACACGGUGAUUCAUAAGCAACCCGUACCUACCCGAAAACCAAAUAGAUUAAAAUGGCAGUUUCAAUCUGCAGCAGCAACGGGGGUUGUUACAGUCUGGUUGCUGGAGAAUUUACUGCAGCCUGCGCCACUGCAAUCAGCUGAGCACAUCAGCUGAUAAGAGAUUGUGGGUUUCGUCCUGAAGAGAUGGUGAACUGUCAAAUAAUGAAGAUAAAGUGAGGGAAUUAUGCUGUUCCUGCUACUGUGCUCUGUGUCCGUGCCACAUUGCGUCUUCCUUUUGCUAUUGCAUAUAUCAUGUCAUGCUGGUAACACCCAGGUUCAUCAAGUGGGCUUCUGAGAGCCUGAAAUACUGCUUGCAGAAAUGUUUGUAUAGCUCGCCUCUGGGCCAUGCUGAGCUCUUUGCUUUGUGAGGCAAAACUGUAGCCUGGUGGCUUGCCUUGAGCCCUGGGGGAAGAGGGACAAAUGCUUCUGGAAAAAUGUGAGGAAAAAAGAGUGGGUUGGGAUGUGCCUGAGUGCCCUAGUUCUGAUGGUGCCUGUAGGAGGUGACUGCUUUGUCUCCUAAAACUUUGUUGUAUGGAAUUGCUUCUGUAAUGAUCCUUUAUUAUGAUGUGGAGUGCGUGGUGAGGGGAAUGUCCAGGCCUCCUCCUUUUUAGUAAGAUGUUUUUUUUUUCUUUCCGAAUAGAGGGAGAGGCGGAUAAAUCUGUUCCAGAUGGGAGAAGAGCCGGACAGUGUGACACAUGAGGCAAUGCUCAACUCAUGUCUCUCAUCCCCAUCUGAUCGAGCAUGGUGGUGUCAGCUCUCCCACUCGAGGACCCAGCAGCAACCAACAGCGUCUCCAGGUUUGGUGGGCAGGAGAAAAUAAGGAAUGAUGUGACAGUGCUCAAGUGGCACAGAAAUGAUUGGAACAGAAGAAUGUUGCCUCCUCCUUCUUCCCUUUUGUUCUACUCCUACCCCAGGCAUCUAAUGCUGAAAAAGAAAAAUACUGAAGUUGUUUUACCACAAGAGGUGAGUUAUGCUGGUGUACUUUAGCCUUGUUUUAAUAAAUUGAGGCAAGUUAAGGUAUGGUGUAACGGCGAGGUAAAAGCUGUUUGAUGGAUCAAGGAGAGAAGGACCCUCUGCAGAGCUGAGGUGGAAGUUUCUUUGGUCUCACCACUUUUUGGUCAGCCUUGCUUACCACAGCUCUGGUACCACAGAUUGACCGAAUCCACCUUAAAAUCUAAGAUUAACAUAGGUUGGUGGCUGUAUUGGCUGUGAUGGGCUUUUUGAGGGCACACUUUGACAAAGGCAGACAAAGGCUCCCCCCUUGCCCAACCAUUUCUCAUUCUCCAUCUCCUUCCACCAGAGCAGGGUGUGUCUCCACACUGCCUUCAUGUGCUGUGACCACAACAGCCAAUGUGGGCUCCAUUUUGCAGCUAGCCAGCUUCUGAUAUUUGCUUCUAUGGUUAAAUGCAGGUGGGGAACAAAGCAAAACAAAACCCAGCCACAUUUGUGUUUUUUUUUUCGCCUUUUGGCUUUUUCUUUUUCCUCUUCUUUGUGUAUCACCAGGUAGGUGAUCUGUGUAGAUGGCAACAAUAACUUUUUUUACUGUAAAAGUUCUCCAUGCAUGGUUUUAUCUGUUCAGACAAUUAAUGUGCAUUAGAUAUAUGAGCAUGUUUCUUAUUUAACAUGCAUCUGCAAACAACUGCAGCUCAUAUAUGCAUUUUUUACUUUUUAAUUCUGGUGCAUUCUUCCAGUGGUUUUGCGGCCUGUGUCCAACACCUGCUGGCCAUGUGCUACAGGGUCUUUGCAGAGGUGAGCACUGAGACCUGGGUGCUCUGCUCCUGGGUUUUGUUGUCUGUAAGAAGAGGCUCAUCCAAGCUUUGUCACCACUGUUGAGAGCUGGCAGCGAUGCUGGAUCAGCCCUUCCACUUGCUUGUCCUAGCAGUCCAGCCCAAGUUACUACAGCCUGAUGUGCCUAGGGUGGAGCAAGAUGGAGCACAUUCCCCCACCUCGCUUCUGGCUGGCUUGGGGCCUGCUUCUGCAGCGAUUCACUGCAGGGUCGCUUCCGUGAUGCUGAAGCUUGUCAGGCCCAAUGCCGGUCACCGUGAAUGAAGGGGAUGAGCAGUCGGUCUGCAUGGUCCUGCCUCCCUGCAUUAACACCCCCUCGAGGACUGUCAGGCAUCCAGCAUGGGCAUACUGCACCCUCAAGGACGACCAGCUACGUCUGAACCAUGAGUUGCCUCAGCAAAAAGUGGAAAAUAUUUGAGCAUUGACAAUUCCGUGAAACCUCCGCUGUAACGAGGCUCAUCCAGGCAGAACCGUCCAUGUCCCCUUUGAGCAAAAGGGAAUUCCCUGGCUGUAUUCCCAACUGGAGCUGAAGCUAGGCUUGGAACAGGAACCUACCUCUCAUACCUGCUGUACUUGGUGCACCUGGGCACGUGAGUGAAGCAGCAAAAACUGAGAACGUGAGUUGCUUUGUUAUGGGUUAGCCUAAACCACGCUGGGUUGAAGAUUGUGGAGUAUCGUGUACCACAUGUCAUAAAUCUAAAUUCUUGUACAUAGAACACUCUUUUUUUUUCUUUUUUUUUCUCCCCCUCCUUAGAGGGAAAUUACAGUCUGGGGGAGUUGAUGGCUUCUAGUUUGGAUCAGGUACAGCUGCUAAAUUGUUACAGACACAAACACGCACACACCCUUAGUAAGCCUGAAACAUUUCCUUGAUGUAAGUUUCUGUGGUCUGUUUUUUGAAAGUUCUAGUUUUGUUAGUUUACUACUGACCCGAAAUCUCAGCAUUUUCAUGGUGCCCUCUUACAGAGGCAAACGAGUCGCUGAGCCACUUCCUCUCACCUGGCAGCCCAGAGAGGAGCUGGAUCUGGCCUGGAGGUCCGUGAGGACUGACCCUGGAAAGGUCCCGUCAUCUCCUUCACUACAGAAGCAAACUCCAGAGUUGGCCCAGGUGUGUGAUGCCAAGACACUGGAAAUGUGAUGGGCGCAGUGUUACUUGCUGGAGGCUGAGCUUCUCUGGGGUGCACACCACUUGGAGACGUGGGGAUUGCCAAACAGAGGAAAGCUGGAGAUUUGCACUUUUCAGUAUCCCUAUCAGGGCCUAAAUUCAUCUAAAGGAAUGGAAGCUGAAGAAGAAAUUAAACUGACUUUGGGAGCUACUCAGUCCAGACUAUUCUUGCAGAGAUGAACAAACCGAAGAAAUUCAGUGCUUAUUCAGGGUGAGUCGCCUGUUAUGUGUUUUCCUUCAAAUGUGAAUACAGCACACAUCCCCGGGAGCAGAGGAGUAAUAGAGCAGCCACAAAAAUAGUCACAGGCGUCUACAAAUGUGGAUAUCAGAAUCUGUAAGAAGAAGUUCUGUUGGAGGUUGCUUUUAUGGCAGGGAAUGGCCUGACUGCACAGUGCCUUACGGGAGCGGGUCUGUACUGAGCAGUCCACAGCAGCAGGCGGUGAAGUUGUUCUUCUGGAUACGAAGGCCACUCUCAGUGACAGACAGACACCAGUAAUGACCAAGCCGGGACAAGCACAAGCCCAUGCAACUAGAGUUCCACUUUUUGCUUAAGGGCAAGGAAUCAGUUACCACGGAGCACGCUGAAGUCUAACCAUGUUUGGAUGCUCGUCCUGCCCUUGUGGGACCCUAUAGCAGCAGGAUGCAGCCACCAUGCUGUGAGAGCCUUUUGGCUGUCUUGGUUCGGUAACCUGCCUGCCACAGGAGACCUGUGAGGACUUCAAAUGCUGAGACAUAGAUCAUCAGUUCAGCUGUUUCCGUCCCGUUAUCCUCUCUCGUCUUUCUUGUCUCACGGUAUUUCACGGUUGGAAAAGUGGCUUUCCAAGUCAUGUAUGUGCCUAACUUACAGAUAAAAUUUCCCAUAGGCAGUAGACUACUUCUAGUUCAGCACUACAGCGGUUUCAGGGAAGGUGCCAAGAGAAACCUUGCAUGCCUGAAAAAAAUGUAAGUUGUUCACAUUUGAAAAUGGAGCUUUGGUCCCCAAAUCAUUUAUGU